CAAUCGGCCCUUUUCAGGGCCACUAUUUACUUAAAGAAAACGAUUU
rfam:Daphnia pulex DAPPTscaffold_6_Cont410, whole genome shotgun sequence.